rnacentral:rRNA from 1 species
GGGUGUUCGGGAGGCUACGCCGUAAAACAACCCCAUUUCUAAGGUUGACCUCGGAUCAGGUAGGGAUACCCGCUGAACUUAAGCAUAUCAAUAAC